GAGAGGUGGCUGAGAGGCCGAAAGCGGCGGUUUGCUAAACCGUUAUACGGGGUCAACCCGUAUCGAGGGUUCGAAUCCCUCCCUCUCC
rnacentral:tRNA from 1 species